rnacentral:lncRNA from 1 species
GAUGGUCAGACCUGGAUCAUUACGGAUGUGGGCUGUGAUCCACCUUCACCUGACAAGACAAACCAACCAUCCACUCCAUCCCAAGCCAAGGAGCCUUGGUUCAUGACGGCUGCAUCCACCUCAGCUGGACCACCCACAGAACCAGAGAAAACCAGGAACGAGACUCUGCGUGUGGAGUCAGUCCGUGCCAGUCAUUCACAAAACGACAAAAGAGGAGAAGUUAUACUCCAGGAGAUUGGAGAUGCUUCCUGGACCAUCUCUGCCAUUGAUGACCUGAGUUUAUCGCCUCAUGUUUUAUCCCCAAAAAUAUUUUAUUAUUUGACAUACUGCCUUAAAUUGACACCAUUUCUCUUCAUUACAUGCAGGUGGUCCACCCAGAAGUCCUCUCUUCCCAGAUGCUCCCUCCUUCAGGAAGAUGUCCACAGGCAUGUCAGAAUGUUGAACUUGGCUUCUGGUAGUAGAUUGGGCAGCGGAUGUUGCGGUGUCGGCCGACAGCCUAAAUGGGUCCGGUAAUGGCCACAGCUCCAUGUCUGCAUGACGGCUGCGACGAGGAAUGUCUGAGGACAAUGAAGCUGUGGAUGCUAACCGGACCACCAGAAAGAAGAUGAUCCAGGAAGAAGAAGAAAUUUAAAAAAAACAAAAACUAAGGAAGGUUUAGCAGUGCAUUUUGACUGACAGUAGUGUUGAAAUGGAUUUUUUUUCAGUGUAGAGUGGACCUUUAAUCACUGACUGAGUUAUACAUUUUUCCUUUUUUCUAGUAAUAACCUCUGCCUCCCUUUAUGUAUCAAUAUAUCUUUAGGGAUUGGUGGUAAUAACAUUUUCAAGUUAAAUCAUGUUAAUUUUUUUCAUGUACUUUAAAUACCUUUUUUUUUUUUUUUUUACUGUUUUUUGAAUUAAAAAAAUGUUUAUAUGCAUAUUACUCCAUUCUGUGCUUUGUUUUUUCUCUUGUCAUUACUGCAGGAGUAUUUUUCAUUCAUGUGUUGAUAUGACUUGGUGGUUUUAUUUCCUUUAAAGGAGUUUUUGCUU